AUUGAACGCUGGCGGCAGGCCUAACACAUGCAAGUCGAGCGGAUGAAGGGAGCUUGCUCCUGGAUUCAGCGGCGGACGGGUGAGUAAUGCCUAGGAAUCUGCCUGGUAGUGGGGGAUAACGUCCGGAAACGGGCGCUAAUACCGCAUACGUCCUGAGGGAGAAAGUGGGGGAUCUUCGGACCUCACGCUAUCAGAUGAGCCUAGGCCGGAUUAGCUAGUUGGUGGGGUAAAGGCCUACCAAGGCGACGAUCCGUAACUGGUCUGAGAGGAUGAUCAGUCACACUGGAACUGAGACACGGUCCAGACUCCUACGGGAGGCAGCAGUGGGGAAUAUUGGACAAUGGGCGAAAGCCUGAUCCAGCCAUGCCGCGUGUGUGAAGAAGGUCUUCGGAUUGUAAAGCACUUUAAGUUGGGAGGAAGGGCAGUAAGCUAAUACCUUGCUGUUUUGACGUUACCAACAGAAUAAGCACCGGCUAACUUCGUG
rnacentral:rRNA from 1 species